GAACACAUACACAAGCAGAACAAAAGUAAAAAGGGAAAUAAAAUGAACCUGGCACGAAACCAUGUUGUAUGAUAAAAGGGAGUUAGCUUGUUUAGGCCUUGCCAGACUCCUCGCAGCCUGGUGGCUUGAAGGCGAUGAAGCUGACGCACUGCACCUGACGCAUGUUGUCGAAUCCGAUGAUGCGGACAUAGGCGUCAGGGUACUCCUUCUUGACCUCCUCCACUUCGUUUAACACCUGUGUGGCGUCGGUGCACCCAAACAUAGGUAGCUUCCACAUUGUCCAGUAUCGGCCAUCGUAAUACCCUGGAGAGGCAUUGUGCUCACGGAAGAUGAAUCCAACCUUGCUGAACUCGAGACAAGGCACCCACUUGGAGCGGAUCAGGUAGUCGACCUGCUUCAGGAGUGCCUCCGUGGAGAGCGGUGGCAAGUAAGACAAAGUCUCGAACUUCUUGAUGCCUUCAAUCGGCCAGACCUGAAUUGUUCACAGAAUUUAGUUUGUCCUCCGUUAGUCAGCUCGAUGGAAUGGGCUGGGAAGUAAAAUCUUUUGUCUUCGGUCUAGUGACCAUACCUGCAUGCACCGGAUUCUUCCGCCGUUGCUGACGCUGCCGAGGCCAGCCGCGUUGCCGGAGAGGCGGCUGACUGGGAGACCAGCUGUGGACUUGAGUCCCUGGAAGGGUGCUACGGCGGUGGCUGCCGACGACAUGACAGUGGGAGCCAUCGUUGAUAGCUAAUAGGAGAGGCAGGCUUUACUUGAGACUGUGCGGUGGGUCGGCGACGAUGGCUUGUAUAAACCGUAGGCUCCCACCCAUUCCAUUAUCUGCACAAGAUCUGGGAGGAGUGGCUGCUGUUAGCCUCGGAGAUUAUCCCCGGCUACGGUGCCAUCCUGUAGAUCGGAUCAAGCGCCAUGUGGCAACGUGCCUUAUCCCGUGGACCUACGUUCUACCCUGUCCAUGCGUGGCUGAUCCUUUGCAAAUGAGAAUGUACUUUUUUUCGCGAUAUUCACCACACAUCUGAUAUAAUGGACAAUAACCAUAUGACCCUAUGUGGUAUACUUAGGAGACAUCCCACACGAUUGACACAAUCGGACGCAGCUACUUCAUGUCACACGUCUAACAAUUACUCCCUCCGCUCUUUAAUAUAAGUCUUUUUAGAGAUUUUUCUAGAAGACUACAUAUGAAUGUAUAUAGAUAUAUUUUAAAAUGUAUAUUUACUCAUUUUACUUUAUAAGUAGUCACUUAAUGAAAUCACUAAAAUACUUAUAUUUAGGAAAUGAGGGAAUACUCAUUCCCAUCCCUUUUGUAUGCCACGGAGCAAUUUCGCCUUGACAUUUCUUGGUGACAACUUUAGUUACUUGAGGAUGGUAACUUUAGUUGUAAAACAUCACAACUUCUCUGUUUUAAUUAAUUAUAGUUGUCAUGCUUAAUUAACGAUAGUUACCACGUGUGGCCAAAUUAUAAUUGUCAUGUAUGAUCAACCAUGGUUGUCAUGUGUGAUUAACUAGCUAUCACGUGUAGUUCAACCAUAAUUGUCAUGUAUGGUCAAUCAUAUUUGCAAUAUGUGAUUAGCCAGUUGCCACAUAUGCACAACUGUAGUUGUCAUCUAUCACAAUACGAGCAUCGUAUGGGUGAAGAGUAGUUCACCCGCACAACGUGGACUAGAUGGUGUCUGUGUAAGCGAGUACCGAUUCACCUGCACGACGAAGCUAUCAAUCACGCGUGCAAGGCCGUUUGGAAAAGCGCUCUAACCACUUACACACCACAAUAUGCCUACGUGUGAAAUUCUAAUAGACCCCUGCAAGAUUCGUGCAAUCGAGAACCAACGAUAAUAAAUGCGUAUGGACCAAGUAUUGAAAUACCACACGUAUGGAUAUUAUUAUUUGUUUUUUAUGUCAGUAAAUAAGGAUGCUCGUAUACAAGGCAUACACACACACCAAUGAGAAUUUCUAAAUAUAUUUUUAUCUAUAAUAUUAUUUUUUAGGGAUGUAAUGACUCCUUAUUCAAAUAAUUCAUAGCAAUCGUUACAUGAUCAUUUGCUUGAAAGAAACCAAACAUGUCUACCUAAGUUUAGAGAAAGUAAAAAAAUUUGGCUAAACUAUAUGCUUCAUUAUUCUUGUCUAACUUUCAUGUACUUUCAACAAAUUAUGUUGCUCUAGCCUUGACCUCGUUUAUAAUAGCAACAUAUCUUUCUCCUUCAAUCAUUUUGAGGUCCUUAUCACAGUGGCACAAUGAGAUGAAAUAAUAAAUUGUGAUGCUUGGAGAUCAUGUGUGAGCACCAUCACCUCGCGACAACAAGUGUUUUUUGAAUUGGUGCACUAGUGAUUCCCGGGAAAGUAAUGGAUUAAGAUCUCACUUAGUUACCAUGUUCGUAGCGACAAACUACCACUGUUGAAACUCGAUCGCUGUUUUUAGAGAACCAGAUGGGGGUCUAAUCCAAGGUUCCUAACAAAACUUGGACUCGCGCACCUACUCUAUUGUCUUUUUUUUGAAGAGAUGGUAUCUAGCUGUGAAAAGAACUUCGUAAUUAACAAGCGGGUUGAUCAAGGUGAUUGGAAUUCUUGUUCUUGCCUUUCAUCUCGUGGACCAUACUGCCCACAAGGUGAUUACUAUCUCCACAUAGUGCUCAUGUGAUAAUGAGUCUAGCAUAGCCAAGAGACACAUUUUUGCAUUUGGUAUCCUUGUUUCCAUCAAGUGUUGGAGCAUCUCCUCAAUGGCCCCAAGCACAUCUUGUAUAAUGCCCAAUAUGCGAUCCUAUCCUUGUUUUUUUUGGUACGAAGGCCUCGACGGGGGUAGAAUCUCAUCUCGUCGUUUUACAAGAAUGGAUAUCGUUACAAGUACAUGUACAGAAGGGACGAGUAUAUGGAAUUGGCUUACAAUCGCCACAAGCUACAUCAUGAGAAUCUCAAUACAACAAUACAUCCAAUCAUCAUGUAGAAGAGCAGGGCAUGUCUACGGAUGAAAACAAACGAUAAAAGAACGACGUCCAUCCUUUCUAUCCCAAGCUACUGGCCUGAAACCCAUCCUAUGAUCGAUGAAGAAGAAGAAGAAACUCGAAAUAGAACAAUCAUCGCGCUCACGUUGAAGUAUCGCUUUACCGGUACCUGCAACUAUUGUUUUAGUAAUCUGUGAGUCACAUGGACUCAGCAAUCUCAUCUUUAAAGGUAUCAAGACUAGCAAAGCUUAAUGGGUGAGGUAUGGUUAUGUGGUUAGGUUGCAACAAGGAAAUAAGCAUUUAUAUGAGUGGCUAACUUACGAGUAGAAGAAAUAAGAGAAGAGAUAAUCUACGCAUAACGAACGUGAACUAAUAAUGAUCUCAAAGUGAUUCUGAACACCUACUUACGUCAAACAUAAACCAACCGUGUUCUCUUUAAUAUGCAUAACUCACGAGAAGAGACAUUCACGGUUACGCACACAGUUGGCAAGUUUUAAGUUUACUUCAAGUUGUCUAGAACCAGAUGUUAAACAAAGUUUCCAAGUUGCCAGAUAACCACGGGCACGACUUUCCAAGGGAUAUAACCCUCGAGGGCUUCUCCAACUAGUCCAUCACAAACUACCACAAGCUGCGUCGGAAACCUAGACUACGGAAAAACCGUGAUCUCCUCGGGUUCCUGGUGGAAAAACUCAAGUUCGAGAUAGCCCAAAUUAUCCUCGGAAUCCCUUGUAGAAGACAUUCGAGAAAGGUCAAAGAAAUCCACCAAGGCCGCCCGACGAGUCUACGAUGCCGAUAGGAGCCGCGUAUCUCGUUCUCCGGACACGAUGGAUGAGCACUACGUACGGUGGCCGGAUAGACAUCCCCCGAGUUCGGCCCAGCUAGUGGCUCUAGUUUGGACCAACACUCAUGAGAAGCACUGGCCCGGGGGUUGAUUAAUUAUCCACAGGGUCGUGAAAGUCCCUAUGCAAUUUUAUUAGGUUAUUAGGCAAAAUGUAGUACCAAUGCUGGGCCUUGCCAGAUGAGUUUUAUCCCAAAAUGAAAAUCUAGGGGGUCUCCAUAAGAACCCCAAGCAUGUUAGGAGCGCUCAAUUAUGGAACAUAACACCGGUAGCCGAAACUAAGGCAGCAAAAGCGGAACAAAACACCCAACCAAAAGACUAAGCCUUCCGCCUUCUACCAAGUAUAUAGGUGCAUUAAAUUAAAUAACAAUAAUAUUAUGAUAUAACAAGGAACCCAUGUUUUUUUCAUGGAAGCAAUUGUACCUGCAACUAGCAAUGCUAUCAAAAGGCUGAGUAAGCCGUAACAUAGCCAACCAGUGGUUUGCUUGGUUGAGGAAUGGUUAGAGGGUUUUCAUGACAAAGUUUGGAGGAUGACAUUUAAGUGGUAGGCAGCGAGACAUAGCGAAAUAAACGAUAUAACUAGCAUGGAAAUUAUAGUAAUUGUAUCUAGGGAAGUGGUCAUCUUGCCUGUGAUCCCGCUUGGAAGAAGAACGAAUCCGUGAAGCAGGUGAAGCAAUGUAGCCGAACGAAUCCUCACAUUCCAAAGCUGUUUAGAACUCUAUCGAGGAAAAAACAAUCCGGAACAACAAUCAACACACGAUAACACCACACAUAUUCAUGACAAGAUGCACAAUAAAAUAUGAUGCAUGGCAAUUUCAAUUUAUGCAAGCAUGGAAAAGCACAACAAAUAAUACUACACAUUAAAUGAAGCUCAAUAUGCAACAAGUUGCAUAUUGAAAAACUCCAUACUUGAAUUAUUUAGUUCACUCUCAUUUAGGUACACGACAAUAUUAAAUGUUGUUAAACAUGGCAAGAGGUGAAGCAUAAAUAAACUACACUAUCUAGGCAUUUUAAAUGAGCUCAGAAACAACAUAUAGCAUCUCCGAAAUGACCCCAUGUGUUAAUUUUGAAAUCUGUCUAGAUCUGAACUAAGCAUGUUUUAAGUUUAUUAAACAGCAAAAUAAAGUGGACUACGUGACUCUACAUGUCAUUCUAGUCAAUUUACAUAUAUAGAUCAUUUGAAAUGGAGCUACGGUCUAAAAGAUAUGAUCAUCACACGAUAAUAUGAUAUUGAUGCAAAAUGCAUGCAAAUGACAUCCACAACAUGUUAAACGUGGAUGCGACAGUAUAUUAUGGAACUACCAAAAUUCUAAGCAAGUUUAAAUUAGGCCUGAAUAACGAACAACAAUUCCGGAAAGUCCAUAUAUGUAAUUUCUAAAUUUGCUACAGAUCUGUGUAAACACAAUUUUAGAUUUGUUAAACAGGAAAAUAAAUGUUACCAUGUUAUUCUACAACUUUUUCUAGCCAAGUUACAUAUGUGGAACAUUUUAAUUGGAGCUACGGUUAAUUAGUUAUGACAUAAACCAUUUCCACAUGGCAUUUUUGCAAAUUAAUUAAAACAACAAGUUAAACAUGUUAGACACAUGUGAGAGUUGCAUAUUGUAAACCUACACAGAAUUCUAAGCAUUUUUUAUGUAUGAAGUUUUUAAAUCCGACGCACGAUUAUUUAGCUAUGAAUUAAUUCAUUUUAAUAUGACAUCCACGCAAAUUUAAUUAAACAACAAGUUUAAAUGUUUUGAACAUGUGUGAAAGGGACAUAUUAUCAAUCUACACAAAAUUCUAUACAUUUUACAUAUUUAAAAUAUUUUUAUCCGAUGCACGGUUAAUUUGUUCUUAACAUUUUAAAGUGAGAACAUAAUCUCUAAUUAUAACAUACACCGAAUAGUUAGCAUUAUCAGAGACGCAAAAAAACAACAACAUGCCGAAUCUGGCUACGGGCCAAAACAACCAGUGGGCACAGGAUAACUGUGCGAGACAGUAGGCGGGUUAUAUAUAGGGAUUGGGCUAUGGUGGGUUGGACCUUGUCCGUCCGGUCGUAAUUCGAUGACCACGAACGGAGGGAGGGGUUAGGUCGGUCUAGUGGGCUGUGUAGAUGGGCUAGGUUCGGAUGAGAGGGAAGUGGUGCAUCCCAUGACAAAAUUUUAAAAGGCAAAAACGCCCGAUAUUUAAACUGACGCCGGUGGCACUAAGGUCGAGCGUUUGGGUAUCAAACAAACUCCGAUUGCGACGAAAUUUGGCAGGCGGUCUACCUACAUUAAAAUAGAACCGCACGCCAUGUUUCAAACCAAUCUGAGAGAGUUUUGCAUACGAUUUAAAAAAUAAUAUUUUUAAUAAUGUCACGGGCGCGUGUGCGUAUGAUUGGCCUCGAAACGGUCAAUGACAAAAACGGACAGAACUGACAACUAAUAACGGAUGCAAGUUUUGAAAAAUGACGGGAAUGGAGUGCCGAUGCAAUGCGGAUGAUGCGAAUGAUGCGAUGAUGAAUGCAGAAACCAAACAAAUCACAUGACAACAAUGCAGUAAAAGGGGAAUCUUCUAGAACGUUGGUUCCGGGCUGUUACAUCUUGCCGAGUAGCGUUCCACCAAAGCAUGACACCAAGAAUCUUCAGAAUCACACACACGGAAGCAAUAUGUACCUGCCAUAUUUCCUUGCUCCAAAACAUCAAAGGCUUGGUUUGAGUGUUGGGCCAAACGUUCCGCAAAAUCCUUGAGUUUCAACAGAAUAGUAGUGCCCCAUAACUUCGUCCAUUGCUUAACCACCGAAACCAUAUCUGAUGAGGCCAUACCAUGAUACAACCAUCCAUCCUAGUGCAUCUUAGUGUUAAAAAUCGUGGUGGCGAUGUUCCUCUCAAAUGCCAAGGACAAAAAAUAGACAUAUAUUUUGUGCAUAAAUGAAUACCCAGAAUAGCACAUUCAUCCAUCGGUAAAAAGGAGGCCCAAACCAAACCCUUGCGCCAAGUCGCCGAUGUCCUAUCUAUUAAUUCAGGUACCAAGAAAACCCCAUGUUGUGUGGUGGUGAUUUUCCUCACUGUACUUUCUCCUGGAAUCAAAUUAUGAUUCCAAAUUUCAGUUGUGGAUCAAUCUCCUAUGUGGCGAAUAAGGCGAUGGAUCAUAAAAGUUGGACCUUCAACUACUGAUCUCCAAAUAUUUGAUGGGUGAACCCUAGGGUUGCAAAUAAUAUAGAUAUAUAAAAAAAUAUCGAUUUAAGCAAUUUUGCACUCAGGGUGUGUGGGUCCAUAAGAAUUCUCCAUGUCUAGCAAGCCAAAAGAGCCAAGCUAAAUAACUCCAAAUCUCUAAAUCCCAAACGUCAGAAAAAAGGACUAGAACUUCCGCGCCGCCGCUGCAAGUCGUUGUUCUAAAGAGAUCCCAUUCGGAGCCCUUUUUUGGCUUCCUGUGGGAGGGGAAAUCUUUAGGGGAGACCAUAUUCAUGAUCCCGGCGAUCUCUAUGAUGAGGGGGGAGUAGUUCACCCUGAGGGUUGAGGGUAUGUACUAGUAGUUAUGUGUGUGAUCUCUCUAUCUCGUGUUCUUGAUUUGGCACGAUCUUGAAGUACCACGAGCUUUGUUAAUAUAGUUGGAUCAUAUACUGUUCUUCCCUCUCUAUCUUCUAAUGAAUUGACUCUCUCCCUAUGAGAUUUCGUUAUGUGGGAUUAAACACUUGGGAUUUGAGAACACUAGAUGUACUUGUUGUAUGCGGUACCCCUGGUGACAAUGGGGUAUUAUAUUGCAUCACUUGAUAUAUGUUUUGGUAAUCAACUUGUGGAUUCCCGUGGUGACAUUGGGGUAAUGUAGGCACAUGGGUUGAUACAUGUUUUCAUCCUAAUUUCUCCUAUAGAUACUUUGGGGUAAUCUUUGAGGUUCUUUGUGUGGAUUUAAUAUUAUGAAUCUAAAAUUGUUUGGUGUUAUUUAGUAGGAAUGCUAGGGUUUUUUGUGAUACAUUAGGUAUUUCUCAAUAGAGUGAUGGAAAAGACAACUAUUUAGCACAAACUCUAGGGCUGCUUGUGACACAUAUAGGGAUGGAUCAAUAGAUUGAUCGGAAAGAUAAAUUUGAGGUGGUUCACUACCUACAACAAUUUCUUCUUAUGUUCACCUCUAAUGACCAGGAUUUUGGAGUGAUUCUUUGUGCAUGUUGAGGGAUGGUUAUAUGACUUAAUUAUGCUAGACCUAUUGAGAAAUUGCACUGGUGAAAGUAUGGACCCUUGUUUCCAUGUAUUGAUUUAACAUGUUGCAAGUUGUUUGUCACUUGCUACCUUGUUGUUCUUAUAUUUUUCGAUUGCAAAAAACUAUUUCUACCAUCCAUACUACACUUUUAUCACCAUCUCUUCUCCAAACUAGUGGACCUAUACAAUUUACCAUUGUAUUGGUUGUGUUGGGGACACACGAGAUUUCUUGUAUUUGAUUGCAGGGUUAUUUGAGAGAUACCAUCUUAAUCCUACACCUCCCAUGGAUUGAUAAACCUUAGGUGAUUGAUACGUAUCCAACAUAUCUAUAAUUUUUGGUUGUUCCAUGCUAUUUUAUUGCCAUUCAUGGAUACUUUAUAAGCAUUUAUAUGUUACUUUAUAUCAUUUUUGAAAACUAACCUAUUAACCCAGUGCCUAGUUCCAGUUGUUGUUUUCCGCCUCUUCUGUAUUUUUAGGAAGCAGUACCAAACUAAGUCCAAAUGCAAUGAAAUUUUUGACGUUUUUCUGAACAAAAAUAAGAUAUGGGAGCUUCAGAGGGAGACCAAAUGCCACACGGAGUGGUGCCAAGCCAACAGAGCGCACCUAAGACGGGUAGGCCAGCCCUAAUGGCUAGGUACCACCCCCUCGCGCCUCCUGACCUAACUGCACCUCGAUAAAUUUUCUAAAAUAGGUAAAACACCAUAGAGACACCCAAAAUAUUUUUCCACCACCGCUCGUCUUUGUUCUGCCGCGAACCCAUCUAGAUCACUGUUCCGGUGUCGUGUCGAAGGGUGGAUCAAUCACAGAGGGCCUCUAGAUCAACUGUGAUGCUCCCAUGGUGAUAUGUGAGUAGUUUACGACAGACCUACGGGUCCAUAGCGUAAUUAUAUAUAUAUAUAUAUAUAUAGAUAGAUAGAUAGAGAGAGAGAGACACACACACACACAUAAACACUAUUCUCAUCCCAGGUUGAGAAUAACUAUUCUCAUCCAGACUGACUCGUCCGAGCAGUAGCACUUGAACUUCCCCGAGUGCUAGGUUGAACUUAUGCCAGAAGUGUGCAAAUGGGGCUUGCGAUAUACCAUUGCAAAUCUAUGGACACCCUAAGAAGAUCCUAAUAUGAUUUUUUGUGAAAAUGUUCAUGGUUUAAAAGUAGUUUUCAAAACUAUUUUUGUUCAUACCAAAAAACAUGAAUCGUAUUUUCAAGCCUAUUUCUAAAAGGUUUAUCAAAAUGAUGCAAAUAAGGUGGAGGUGGAGAGACUUUGCAAAUACGCUAAUUUCAUACGUUGAAAGUUCUCCCAAAUUCCCUACGGUUAAAGAGGAAUUAAAAAAAAUGGCUGAAUUUGUGAAACCGAACACCCGGGUUCGUAUUUCAGGGUUAAUUUGAAAACGGCUAGUCCGAUCGAUGCAAAUGAUAUGUUGUUCGAAAGCUUAUGAAAAUGUGCGUUGUUUCAUACAAAAUGUUUAUGCUAACUAUGAACGGUUUAAAAGUAAUUUACUAAAUGGCACAAGUUGUAUCGAGUUUGUAUUUUCGCGUCAAUUUUUCAAAGGUUUGUUGGAAUGGAACGAAUGAUAUGGCGUUGGAAAGCUUGAACAAAUGCUAAACUUUUAUAUGUCAAUUCUUUUUUAAUUCAUUACAGUUUUACGUGAGUUUUUAAAAUGGCUAAAGUGUGUUUUGGCUAUAGGUUUUACAAACUUUAUCGGAAUAAGGCAAAUAAUAUACCGUUGAAAUGCUACGGAAAUGUGAAACUUUUUCAUGUAUAUAGUUUUCUAUGAUUCCUAUCCAUUUUCAAGCAAUCUAGAGAAAAGUGAGAUCAUGCCUUCUGUAUUUAUCGCAAAAUAGAGCCUUCAAAAAUGCAUCGCGUGAAGAACUUGACCUUCUCGCCAUGUCCACUUGAACUUCACUUUGUUUUUUUUGGAAAUAUGCCCUAGAGGCAAUGAUAAAAUAGUUAUUAUUAUAUUUCCUAUUUCAAUAUAAUCGUUUAUUAUCCAUGCUAUAAUUGUAUUGAAUGAAAACAUAAAUGCAUGUGUGGAUAUAUAGACAAAACAAUGUCCCAAGUAAGCCUCUAUUUGACUAGCCUGUUGAUCAAGGAUGGUUAAGGUUUUCUGACCAUAUGCAAGUGUUCUCACUUGAUGACUCGAUCACAUCAUUAGGAGAAUGAUGUGAUGGACAAGACCCAAACUAUAAACGUAGCAUGUGAUCGUAUCAUUUUGUUGCUAUUGUUUUCUGUGUGUCAAGUAUUCAUUCCUAUGACCAUGAGAUCAUGUAACUCACUGACACCGGAGGAAUACCUUGUGUGUAUCAAACGUUGCAACGUUACUGGGUGACUAUAAAGGUGCUCUACACGUAUCUCCGAAGGUGUCCGUUGAGUUAGCAUGGAUCAAGACUGGGAUUUGUCACUCCGUGUGACGGAGAGGUAUCUCGGGGCCCACUCGGUAAUACAACAUCACAUAUAAGCCUUGCAAGAAAUGUGACUCAAGUGUUAGUCACAGGAUCUUGUAUUAAGAAAACGAGUAAAGAGACUUGCCGGUAACGAGAUUGAAAUAUGUAUAGGGAUACCGACGAUCAAAUCUCGGGCAAGUAACAUACCGAAGGACAAAGGGAAUGGUAUACGAGAUUAUAUGAAUCCUUGGCAUAGAGGUUCAAUCGAUAAGAUCUUCAUAGAAUAUGUAGGAUCCAACAUGGACAUCCAGGUCCGGCUGUUGGAUAUUGACCGGGGAGUGUCUGAGGUCAUGUUUGCAUAGUUCUCGAACCCACAGGGUCUGCACACUUAAGGUUCGGUGAUGUUUCAGUAUAGUUGAGUUAUAGGUGUUGGUGACUGAAGGUUGUUUGGAGUCCCGGAUGAGACCACAGACGUCACGAGGGUUUCCGGAAUGGUCCCGAAACGAAGAUUGAUAUAUAGGAUUGUUUCAUUUAGCCUUCGGAAAGAUUUCAGGCAUUAGCGGCACUGUACCGGGAGUGACGAAUGGCUUCCGGGUCUUUACCGGGAGGGCCCACCCACCCGGGAGAGAACCCAAUAACCCAAGGGUGGCGCACCAGCCCUUAGUGGGCUGGUCAGGCCAGCCCAAGUGGGAUAUGUAGGCUAGAAGGAAAAAAUCAAAGGAAAAAAAAGAGGGAGGUGGGAAGGAAGGAGGGGACUCGUCCUUCCCAAACCGAAUUGGAGUUGGAAUCUCCUUCUCCUCUCUCGUGUGGAGCCCUAGGGGCUCCCUUGAGCCCCAACUCUAGCCCCUCCCCUCCUUCUAUAUAUACUAGAGGUUUUAGGGGUUUUGAGACACAACUUUUGCCACGUGCAACCCUAAACCUCUACUUCGUAGUUCUUCCUCUAGAUCGGUUUUCUGCGGAGCUCGGGCGGAGCCCUGCAGGAAUAAAUCAUCACCAUCACCGGCGCGCCGUCACGCUUCUGGAUAACUCAUCUACUUCCCCGUCUCUCUUGCUGGAUCAAGAAGGCGGAGAUCGCCAUCGAGCUAUACGUGUGCUGAACGCGGAGGUGCCGUCCGUUCGGCGCUAGAUCAGAACGGAUCAUGGGACGACGGUGAUUUGAAUCACAAAGCCGUUCCACUACAUGAACUGCGUUUCUUAAUGCUUCCCGCUUAGCGACCUACAAGGGUAUGUGGAUCCGAUCUCCCACUCUUAGAUGAACAUCACCAUGAUAGGUCUUCGUGUGCGUAGGAAUUUUUUUGUUUCCCAUGCAACGUUCCCCAAUAGUGGCAUCGUGUUCUAGGUUCAUGCGUAGAUGUAAUAUCGAGUAGAACACUUAAGUUUUUGUGGGCAUUGAUGUUCGAUUUGCUGCCCUCCUUAGUCUUUUAUCAAUUCGGCGGUAUUGUUGGAUUGAAGCGUCCCGGACCAACAUUACUCGUACGCUUACGAGAGACCAGUUUCAUCGACUAACAUGCAACUCGUUCCAUAACGAUGACUGGCGGGUGCUGGUUCUUCAACUUUAGUUGAAUUGGAUUUGACCGAGGCGGUCCUUGGAGAGAGGGUAAAUAGCAAUUUGCACAUCUCCAUUGUAGUUUUGCGUAAGUAAGAUGCGAUCGUACUAGAUACACAUAGCAGCCACGUAAAACAUGCAACAACAAAUUAGAGGACGUCUAACUUGUUUUUGCAGGCUAUGCAUGUGAUGUGAUAUGGCCAAAGACAGGAUGUGAUAUAUUGGAUGUAUGAUAUGAUCAUGUUGUAAUAGUUAAAUAUCCACUUGCACUUAGAUGCUACGACAACCGGCAGGAGCCAUAAGGUUGUCUUUAAACUAUCUUCUGUGUUUGCAGAUGCGUUUACUAUAUUGCUAGGUUGUAGAUUUAGUAGUAAUAGCAUAGAUAGCACGACAACAUCGAUGGCAGCACGAUGAUGGAGAUCUUGAUGAUGGAGAUCAUGGUGUGGCACCGGUGACGAUGAAGAUCAUGCCGGUGCUUUGGUGAUGGAGAUCAAGAAGCACAAGAUCAUGGACAUAUCAUGUCACUUAUGAAUUGCAUGUGAUGUUAAUCCUUUUAUGCACCUUAUCUUGCUUAGAACGACGGUAUCAUUAUAAGGUGGUCCCUCACUAAAAUUUGAAGAUAAAAUUGUGUUCUCCCCGACUAUGCGCCAUUGCGACAGUUCAUCAUUUCAAGACACCAUGUGAUGAUCGGGUGUGAUAGAUUCAACGUUCACAUACAAUGGUUGCAAAACAGUUGCACACGCGGAACACUCGGGUUAAACUUGACGAGCCUAGAGUGUGCAGACAUGGCCCCAGAAUACAUGAGACCGAAAGGUCGAGCAUGAAUCAUAUAGUUGAUAUGAUUAACAUAGAGAUGUUUAGCACUGAAACUGCAGUCAACUCACGUGAUGAUCGGACUUGUGUUAGUGAAUUUGGAUCAUCCCACACUCAAAUAACUAGAGGGAUGUCUAUUUGAGUGGGAGUUUAUUAGUAAUUUGAUUAGCUAAACUCUAAUUGUCUUGAACAUAGUCUAAGUCCACUUUGCAAUAUUUUAUGUUGUAGAUCAAUGGCUCACGCAGUAGCAACCCUGAAUUUCAAUACGUUCCUAGAGAAAGCUAAGUUGAAAGAUGAUGGUAGCAACUUUGUAGACUGGGCUCAUAAUCUCAGGCUCAUCCUGCAAGCUGGGAAAAAGAAUUAUGUCCUUGAUGCUGUGCUAGGAGAUGAACCAUCCUCAACGUCUGAUCAAGAUGUUUUGAACGCUUGGCAAGCACGUAAGGAGGACUACUCAGUAGUUCAAUUGUAGUCUUGUAUGGCUUAGAACCAGGACUUCAACGAUCUUUGAACGUCAUGGAGCAUAUGAGAUGUUCCAGGAGUUGAAGUUUAUCUUUCAGAAGAACGCCCGAAUCGAGGGGUAUGAGACCUUCAAUAAAUUCUACGCUUGCAAGAUGGAGGAGAAUUCGUCUGUCAGUGAACAUGUGCUCAAAAUGUCUGGGGUACUCAUACCGUCUAGCUGAUAUGGGAUUGAAUUCCCGCAAGAGUCUAUCACUAACAGAAUUCUUCAAUCACUGCCACCUAGCUACAAGAGCUUUGUGUUGAACUAUAACAUGCAAGGGAUGAACAAGUCACCCAGUGACUUAUUCGCGAUGCUGAAAGUCGCAGAGUCAGAACUCCCGAAAGAACAUCAAGUGUUGAUGGUGAAUAAGACCACUGGUUUCAAGAAAAGCGGCAAAGGCAAGAAGGGUAACUCCAAGAAGAGUGGAAAAGCUGUUGCUCCUUCGACGAAGAAACCCAAGGCUGGACCUAAGUCGGAAACUGAGUGCUAUUAUUGCAAGGGGAUGGGUCACUGGAAGCGCAACUGCCCCAAGUAUUUGGCUGAUAAGAAGGCGGCCAACGCCAAACCAGGUAUAUGUGAUAUACAUGUUAUUGUUGUGUACCUAACCAACUCUCGUAGUAGUGCCUCGGUAUUUGAUACUGGUUCUGUUGCUCAUAUUUGCAACUCGAAGCAGGAACCGCGGAAUAAACGAAGGCUGGAGAAGGAUGAAGUGACGAUGCGCGUGGGAAAUGGUUCCAAGGUUGAUGCAAUCGCCAUCGACACAGUCUCACUUCAGUUACCAUCAGGAUUAGUUAUCAACUUAAAUAAUUGUUAUUUAGUGCGUGCGUUAAGCAUGAACAUUAUAUCUGGAUCUUGUUUAUUACGAGACGGUUACUCAUUUAAGUCAGAGAAUAAUGGUUGUUCUAUUUAUAUGAGUAAUAUAUUUUAUGGUCAUGCACCCAAUGUGAGGGGUUUGUUCAUAUUGAAUCUUGAUUGUGAUGAUACACAUAUACAUAACAUUGAGACCAAAAGAUGUAGAGUUAACAAUGAUAGUGCCACCUUUUUGUGGCACUGUCGCUUAGGUCAUAUUGGUAUAAAGCGCAUGAAGAAACUCCAUGUUGAUGGGCUUUUGGAGUCACUUGAUUUCGAAUCACUUGACACGUGUGAACCAUGCCUCAUGGGAAAGAUGACUAAGACUCUAUUCUUCGGAACAAUGGAGCGUGCAAGUGACUUGUUGGAGAUCAUACAUACUGAUGUGUGUGGUCCAAUGGGGGUGGAGGCGCACGGCGGAUAUCGUUAUUUUCUCACUUUCACUGAUGAUUUGAGUAGGUAUGGAUAUAUCUACUUGAUGAAGCACAACUCUGAAACAUUUGAAAAGUUCAAGAAAUUUGAGAGUGAAGUUGAAAAUCAUCGUAACAAGAAGAUCAAGUUCCUACGAUCUGAUCGAGGGGGCGAAUAUCUGAGUUUCGAGUUUGGUGCUCACUUAACACAAUCUUGAAUCGUUUCACAGGUUAAACCGCCUGGAACACCACAGCGUAAUGGUGUGUCCGAACGUUGUAAUCGUACUUUGUUAGAUAUGGUGUGAUCUAUGAUAUCUCUUACCGAUUUGCCAUUAUCGUUUUGGGGUUAUGCAUUAGAGACAGCUGCAUUCACUUCAAAUAGGGCACCAUCAAAAUCCGUUGAGACGACACCAUAUGAGCUAUGGCAUGGCAAGAGGCCAAAGUUAUCGCUUCUUAAAGUUUGGGGAUGCGAUGCUUAUUUCAAAAAGCUUCAACCCGAAAAGCUGGAACCUGAUAAACGUAUCUAUAAUUUUUGAUGGUUUCACGCUGUUAUCUUGCCUUCUUUGUAUGUUUUAUGUACCUUUUUAUAUCUUUUUGGGACUAACUUAUUAAUUCAGUGCCAAGUGCCAGUUCCUGUUUUUCCCGUGUUUUUGACUCUUUUCAGAUCUGAUUUUGGAACGGAGUCCAAACGGAAGAAAAACCCCGAAAUGAUAUUUUCCCGAACGGGAGAAGUCCAGGGGGCUUUUGGGCCAAGCCAGGUGGGCUCCAAGGAGCUCACAAGCCCCCACUCCGCCACCAGGGGAGGCGGCGGUGGGCAGGCUUGUGGCCUCCCUGGCUGCCCCCUGACCUAGGUCUUUGGCCUAUAAAUUCCCAAAUAUUCCGCAAAAAAUCACGGGAGCCUCGAAAAUACUUUUCCACCGCUGCAAGCUUCCGUUUCCGCGAGAUCUCAUCUGGAGACCCUUCCCGGCACCCUGUCGGAGGGGACUUUGGAGUUGGAGGGCUUAUUCAUCAUCAUCAUCACCCCUCCAAUGACUCGUGAGUAGUUCACUUCACACCUACGGGUCCGUAGUUAGUAGCUAGAUGUCUUCUUCUCUCUCUUGGAUCUUCUAUACAAAGUUCUCCAUGAUCUUCAUGGAGAUCUAUCCGAUGUAAUCUUCUUUGGCGGAGUGUUUGUCGAGAUCCGAUGAAUUGUGGACUUGUGAUCAGAUUAUCUAUGAUAUAUAUUUGAGUCUUUGCUGAUUUCUUAUAUGCAUGAUUUGAUAUCCUUGUAAGUCUCUCCGAGUCUUGGGUUUUGUUUGGCCAACUAGAUCUAUGAUUCUUGCAAUGGGAGAAGUGCUUGGUUUUGGGUUCUGCCAUGUGGUGACCUUUCCCAGUGACAGUAGGGGCAACAAGGCACACAUCAAGCAGUUGCCAUCAAGGGUAAAAAGAUGGGGUUUUUAUCAUUGGUUUGAGAUUAUCCCUCUACAUCAUGUCAUCUUGCUUAAGGCAUUACUCUGUUCUUAUGGACUUAAUACACUAGAUGCAUGCUGGAUAGCGGUCGACGUGUGGAGUAAUAGUAGUAGAUGCAGAAAGUAUCGGUCUACAUGUUUCAGACGUGAUGCCUAUAGAAAUAAUCAUUGCAUAGAUAUCGUCAUGACUCUACACAGUUCUAUCAAUUGCUCGACAGUUAUUUGUUCACCCACCGUCUACUUGCUUUCAUGAGAGAAGCCACUAGUAAACACUACGGCCCCCGGGUCUAUUCACAUCCAUCGUUUACAUCUCCGCUUUUACCUUGCUUUGAUACUUUGUUGCUUUCAGUUCUCACUUGGCAAACAAUCUAUAAGGGAUUGACAAACCCUCCAUAGCGCUGGGUGCAAGCUUUUGUGUUUGUGCAGGAUCUUGAGAUACUCUUCCGCCGGAUUGAUACCUUGGUUCUCAAACUAAGGGAAAUACUUACCAUCGCUAUGCUACAUCACCCUUUCCGCUUCGAGGGAACACCAACGCAAGGCUCCAAGGCCACGGGGGAAAUCCUUUGCAUACUUGCCUAGGAAGUCCCUUAAGGCAUAGCCGUAGCUGAAGGAUUCCUGGUGCCGUCGACACAACUAUUUCUGGCGCCGUUGCAAGGGAUACACAGCAAAUAUCAGAAGUAUUUCUGGCGCCGUUGCCGGGGAGGAGAAAUCAAGAUCUAUCCAAGUAGGUCUCACAAACUCUUCUCUUGCAUUUACUUUUGUUGCCAGUUGCCUCUCGUUUUCCUCUCCCCCACUUCACAUUUGCCUUUCUCCUUUGACUUUUUUGUUUGCUAUUUUUGUUCGCCCUUUUCUCUCGCUUGCUUUAUGUUCACUUGUGUGUCAUGUGCCUUCAAAAUGCUUGCAUCUUCGCUUGCUGAAAAUCUAUUGAUAUGGAUCCUCAUCCACUAGCUAGUCUCUUUAAGAGACCCACUAUUGUGGAACGAAUUGCUAGUGAGUUGAGGGCAAUUGACUUUUUCUAUGGAGUUUUGCUUAAGAUGCGUGAAUCUGAAAAUUGCGAGGAAGAAAUUCAUGAAGUGAUUCACGAGGGCUCAUUGGAUGAAAAGCAUGAUUGCAAUGGUUUCACUACAAAUUCUAUUAGUGACAAUCAUGCUAAAAUUAUGCAAAACCCUAAGCUUGAGGAUGCUAGUCUUGCUAUGACCACUACUUGUAGCAAAGAUCAUGAUUGGGGUGAGGAUUUUUCUUCUGAUCUUGAAAAUUUGUUCAAGCCUCAAGAUGAAUAUGAUAUUUGCAAUAUUAUUGAAAGUGGGUUUGGAGAAGUCAUGACUUUAGAUGAUAAUCCCACUAUUUUUGAAGAGCGUCAACUUUGCAUGCAUGUGGAUCAUGAAAAGAAUAUCCUAUGGGAUAGCUAUAUUGUUGAAUUUGAAUAUGAUCCCACAUGUAAUUGCUAUGAGGGAGGAAAAUAUUUUGGUAGAAACUUUCAUGUUACCAAAUCACCUCUCGUGAUGUUGAGAUUGCUCUUGUCUCUUUCUUCUUCCUUGCAUAUGGCAGCUAUUGGUUGUCUUGACAAUUUGUUUUGCUAUAAAAUGCCUAUGCAUAGGAAGUAUGUUAGACUUAUAUGUGAUUUUCACAUGCUUUAUGAUGCUCUCGUUGUGCUUCAAUUCUUGUCUUUUGUGAGAGCAUCAUUGAAUGCCUAGCUAAGGGCGUUAAACAAAAACGCUUGUUGGGAGGCAAUUCAACGAAUCUAUCCUUUUUCUUUCUGUUUUGUGUUUUUCACACUUUCAUAAUUCUGUUAUGAUUGUGUUUUUGUGUUUCUUUUUGCGUUUGUGCCAAGCAAAACCGUUAUGAUUAGUCUUGAGGAUGAUCGUUUGGUCAUGUUGGAAAAGACAAAAACUUUCUGCUCACGAAAAGAAUUUUCAUUUUUUUUCUGUAAGUGUUUUUGAGUUUAUUCUUUUUGCUGCUGAUUUCUACGCUAAUUCUUCAGACUGUCGUAAGUUUUCAGAAGUUUUGAUGUACCAUAGGUAUACGAAACAUACAGAUUUAUAUAGACUGGUCUGCUGUUAACAGAUUCUGUUUUUGUUGUGUUGGUUGCUUAUUUUGAUGAAACUAUGGAUAGUAUCAGGGGGUAUUAGCCAUGGAAGAUUGAAAGUACAGUAACCCAACAUCAGCACAAGUAGAAUUUAAGUUUGCUACAGUACCUAAGGAAGUGGUGGUUUGCUUUCUUGUACUAAUGUUAUCACGAGUUUCUGUUUAAGUUUUGUGUUGUGAAGUUUUCAAGUUUUGGGUGAAGUUCUUAUGGACAAAAAGAUAAAGAGUGGCAAGAGCUCAAGCUUGGGGAUGCCCAAGGCACCUCAAGAGACUCAAGUAUGCCGUAAAAGCCUAAGCUUGGGGAUGCCCCGGGAAGGCAUCCCCUCGCUCGUCUUCAAUCCAUCGGUAACGUUACUUGGGGCUAUAUUUUUAUUCACCGCAUGUUAUGUGUUUUUUCUUGGAGCGUCUUGUAUCGUAGGAGUCUUUUAUUUUUGUUGUGUCACAAUCAUCCUUGCUGCACACCUAGAUAGAGAUACAUGCACACACCGUGAUUUUGUCGAGCUUCACUUAUAUCUUUUGGUAGACAAUUCAGCUCACAUGUGCUUCACUUAUAUCUUUUGAGCUAGAUACUUUUUCUCUAUGUGCUUCACUUAUAUAUUUUAGAGCACAGCGGUGCGUGGCUUGGUAGUUGAUCUAUGCUUUGAAAGUAGUCUCAAAAGGGGUAGUUAUCCAAAGGGAUACGAAAACUUCCACCCUCAUGUGCAUUGAAUAGUUAGAGAAGUUUGAUUCAUCUCAAUUAGUUUUGAGUUGUGGUUAUGGUAAUAUUGAAGUCAUGCUUGUAAGGUAUUGUGGAUCUAGGAAUACUUGUGUUGAAGUUAGUGAUUCCCGUAGCAUGCACGUAUGGUGAACCGCUAUGUGAUGAAGUCUGAGCAUGAUUAGUAUAUUGGUUUUCAUCCUUUGCCUGGCGGUCGGGAUCACGCGAUGGUUUAUACCUACCAACCAUUCCCCUAGGAGUAUGCGUUGAAUGCUUUGUUUCGAUUACUAAUAAAACUUUUGCAACAAGUAUAUGAGUUCUUCAUGACUAAUGUUGAGUCCAUGGUUUAGAUGCACUUUCACCUUCCACCAUCAUUAUCUUCUUAGUGCCAUGCAACUUCCGUCGGUGCACAAAACCCACCAUUAGCCUCCCUCAAAACAGCCACCAUACCUACCUACUAUGGCUAUUUCAAAGUCAUUCCGAGAUAUAUUGCCAUGAAACUACCACCAUGAUAUGUGCCACCACGUCUACAUUGCCAUUACAUGAUCGUAAGAUAGAUAGCAUGCUGUUUCCAUUGAUGUCUAUGCCAUGCUAGAUCAUUGCCAUGGUACACUACCGAAGGCAUUCCAUAUAGAGUCAUAGUUGCUCUAAGUUUUGAGUUGAAAGUGUGAUUCAUUAUUGGAGCAUUGUCCCAUGUGAGGAAAUAAAAGAGGCCAAAGAAGCCCAUAAAAAAAAGAGGCCAAAGAGCCCGCCAAAAUAAAAAAAAUGAGAGAAAAAGAGAGAAGGGACAAUGCUACCACUUUUUCCACACUUGUGCAUAUUGAGCACCAUAAUCUUCAUGAUUGAGAGUCUCUCGUUUUGUCACCACCAUAUAGCUAGUGGGAAAUUCUCAUUAUAUAACUUGGCUUGUAUAUUCCAAUGAUAGGCUUCCUCAAAAUUGCCUUAGGUCUUCGUGAGCAAGCAAGUUGGAUGCACACCCACUAGUUUUCUUUAAGAGCUUUCACAUACUUGUAGCUCUAGUGCAUCAUUUGUAUGGCAAUCCCUACUCAUUCACAUUGGUAUCUAUUGAUGAGCAUCUCCACAGCUCAUUUAUAUGCCUAGUUAAUGUGACUAUCUUCUCCUUUUUGUCUUGCAACCUCCACCACAUUUCACCCAUCUAUAGUGCUAUAACCAUGUCUCACGCUCAUGUAUUGCGUGAGAGUUGAAAAUGUUUGAGAAAGUAAAGGUGUGAAACAAUUACUUGGCCAAUACCGGGGAUGUGCAUGAUUUAAAUUCGUUGUGCAAUGAUGAUAGAGCAUAGACAGACUAUAUGCUUUUGUAGGGAUAAGUUUCUUUUGGCCUUGUUAUUUUGAAAGUUCAUGAUUACUUUGCUAGUUUGCUUGAAUUAUUAUUGUUUCCACGUCAAUAGCAAACUAUUGUUUUGAAUCUAAUGGAUCUGAACAUUCACGUCACAUAAGAGGAAUUACAAAGGACACCUAUGCUAGGUAGCAUGAAAGCAUCAAAAAUUCAUUCUUAUCACUUCCCUACUCGAGGACGAGCAUGAGUUAAGCUUGGGGAUGCUUGAUACGUCUCAAACGUAUCUGUAAUUUUUGAUGGUUUCACGCUGUUAUCUUGCCUUCUUUGUAUGUUUUAUGUACCUUUUUAUAUCUUUUUGGGACUAACUUAUUAAUUAAGUGCCAAGUGCCAGUUCCUGUUUUUUCCGUGUUUUUGACUCUUUUCAGAUCUGAUUUUGGAACGGAAUCCAAACGGAAGAAAAACCCCGAAAUGAUUUUUUCCCGAACGGAAGAAGUCCAGGGGGCUUUUGGGCCAAGCCAGGUGGGCUCCAGGGAGCCCACAAGACCCCACUCCGCCACCAGGGGGACACGGCGGUGGGCAGGCUUGUGGCCUCCCUGGCCGCCCCCUGACCUAGGUCUUUGGCCUAUAAAUUCCCAAAUAUUCCGCAAAAAAUCAGGGGAGCCUCGAAAAUACUUUUCUGCCGCCGCAAGCUUCCGUUUCCGCGAGAUCUCAUCUGGAGACCCUUCCCGGCACCCUACCGGAGGGGACUUUGGAGUUGGAGGGCUUCUUCAUCAUCAUCGUCGCCCCUCCAAUGACUCGUGAGUAGUUCACUUCAGACCUACGGGUCCGUAGUUAGUAGCUAGAUGGCUUCUUCUCUCUCUUGGAUCUUCAAUACAAAGUUCUUCAUGAUCUUCAUGGAUAUCUAUUCGAUGUAAUAUUUUUUGGCGGUGUGUUUGUCGAGAUCCGAUGAAUUGUGGACUUGUGAUCAGAUUAUCUAUGAUAUAUAUUUGAGUCUUUGCUGAUUUCUUAUAUGCAUGAUUUGAUAUCCUUGUAACUCUCUCCGAGUCUUGUGUUUUGUUUGGCCAACUAGAUCUAUGAUUCUUGCAAUGGGAGAAGUGCUUGGUUUUGGGUUCUGCCAUGUGGUGACCUUUCCCAGUGACAGUAGGGGCAGCAAGGGACACAUCAAGCAGUUGCCAUCAAGGGUAAAAAGAUGGGGUUUUUAUCAUUGGUUUGAGAUUAUCCCUCUACAUCAUGUCAUCUUGCUUAAGGCGUUACUCUGUUCUUAUGGACUUAAUACACUAGAUGCAUGUGUGGAUAGCGGUCGACGUGUGGAGUAAUAGUAGUAGAUGCAGAAAGUAUCGGUCUACUUGUUUCGUACGUGAUGCCUAUAGAAAUAAUCAUUGCAUAGAUAUCGUCAGGACUCUACACAGUUCUAUCAAUUGCUCGACAGUAAUUUGUUCACCCACGUCUACUUGCUUUCAUGAGAGAAGCCACUAGUAAACACUACGGCCCCCGGGUCUAUUCACAUCCAUCGUUUACAUCUCCGCUUUUACCUUGCUUUGUGACUUUGUUUCUUUCAGUUCUCACUUGGCAAACAAUCUAUAAGGGAUUGACAACCCCUUCAUAGCGUUGGGUGCAAGCUUUUGUGUUUGUGCAGGAUCUUGAGAUACUCUUCCGCCGGAUUGAUACCUUGGUUCUCAAACUGAGGGAAAUACUUACCGUCGCUGUGCUACAUCACCAUUUCCGCUUAGAGGGAACACCACCGCAAGGCUCAAAGGCCACGGGGGAAAUCCUUUGCAUACUUGCCUAGGAAGUCCCUUAAGGCGUAGCCGUAGCUGAAGGAUUCCUGGUGCCGUCUACACAACUAUUUCUGGCGCCUUUGCAAGGGAUACACAGCAAACAUCAGAACCCAAAGCGGAAAAGUGCGUCUUCAUAGGUUACCCAAAAGAGACAGUUGGGUACACAUUCUAUCUCAGAUCCGAGGGCAAAGUGUUUGUUGCUAAGAACGUAGCUUUUCUUGAGAAGGAGUUUCUCUCGAAAGAAUUGAGUGGGAGGAAGAUCGAACUUGAUGAGGUUGUGGAACCUCUGCUCCCUGUAGAUGGUGGCAUAUGGCAGAGAGAAAUUUGUGUUGAGGCAACACCGGUUGAGGAGGAAGCUA
rnacentral:lncRNA from 1 species